rnacentral:rRNA from 1 species
GUGUCAGCAGCCGCGGUAAGACAGAGGGUGCAAACGUUGUUCGGAAUUACUGGGCGUAAAGCGCGUGUAGGCGGCCAUCUAAGUCGGGCGUGAAAUCCCACGGCUCAACCGUGGAAGUGCACUCGAAACUGGAUGGCUAGAGUCCUGGAGAGGAAGGUGGAAUGCUUGGUGUAGAGGUGAAAUUCGUAGAUAUCAAGCGGAACACCGGUGGCGAAGGCGGCCUUCUGGACAGUGACUGACGCUGAGACGCGAAAGCGUGGGGAGCAAACAGGAUUAGAAACCCCGGUAGUCC